rnacentral:rRNA from 1 species
UACGUAGGGGGCAAGCGUUGUCCGGAAUCACUGGGCGUAAAGGGCGCGUAGGUGGCGACCCAAGUCAAUGGUGAAAGCUCGUCGCUCAACGACGAGUCGGCCACUGAUACUGGGUUGCUCGAGCACUGUAGAGGCUCAUGGAAUUCCGGGUGUAGCGAUGGAAUGCGUAGAGAUCCGGAAGAACACCGGUGGCGAAGGCGGUGAGCUGGGCAGUUGCUGACACUGAGGCGCGACAGCGUGGGGAGCAAACAGG